GAAACAUCUAAGUAGCUGCAGGAAAAGAAAUCAACCGAGAUUCCCAAAGUAGCGGCGAGCGAAAUGGGAAGAGCCUGUACGUGAUAGUCGGACCGAUAACAGAAUCCUCUGGAAAUGGGAGCCAUAGCGGGUGAUAGCCCCGUAUGUGAAAUCGGACCGGUGGUACUAAGCGUACGACAAGUAGGGCGGGACACGUGACAUCCUGUCUGAAUAUGGGGGGACCAUCCUCCAAGGCUAAAUACUC
rnacentral:rRNA from 1 species